CUCCCUUAUUUCAUCUCCUUCACCAAAUCCUCAAAUUGUGAACAACCCCAUAUUCUUCUCCCUCUGUUCUCUUCUUCCAAAAUUCCCCCAAUCUUCUUCUUCCUCUAAUUCCGUCGCCUCUCCCCAAAUCGGAGGUCACCGCUGCUGCCGCUGCUGCCACGAAUCCGCCAUCGCGAAUCCGCCGCCGUCGGCUUCUCUAACUUCCCAGCCACCGUCGCCGGCCGCUGCUCGCCGGGAGAAGACGCAGCGCCGUCGUCCUUGGUCCUCCCUGCAGUAAUUCCUGCCGCUGCAGUGCAGUCUCCUCGCCGGAGAUUGCUGUCGACGCACGAAACAGCCCCGCAAACGUUCGAACACGCCCGCAGCUGUCCGAACUCACCCCUAGACGCCCCAAGCAGUCCCCGAACCGCUCCGAAACAACCCAGAUUCACCCCGAAAGCGCCGAACAGCCCCCCGACAGCCCCGAAGAUAGAUGUAGGAUUGAAUGAGGAAGGUGGAAGGUUUGAAUGAUGGAGGGUCUCCAUGAAGAAGGAACCGGCGCAGGGGAAGAAA